AGCCUGCCUCCUGUCCGUCAUUCUGAGCACACCCCUGCCCCUGGGCCUCAUCACACCAACUGCUCCACGUCUGCAGCUUCACCUCUGGGGUUUGAGGAUGCUCUGAUUGUGGGGAACCAGGCCGAUUCUCCUUGCAUCCUUGGUGGAGAAAACCCUGAUGCACCCAUCUUCCUGCUGGGAAAACUGAAAUCUUCUAAGAGCUCCUAACAACAGAGUGGGGGCGGCGGGCGGGCACAGAUCUAAAUGUCCCAGUGACCCCCGUGGGCAGCCUCGGCUCUUGUCCCCUCCCCACCUGGAGACCAGGAGGAGGGAAGACAGUGAAGAACUGGCCUGAGCUUUGGUCUUAGUGCCUUUCUUGCGCCCUGAGCCAGCCCCUCCCUCUGCCCACGAAGGCGCGCCUCUGCCCACGGAAGGAAGGAAGCCCUGCGCGCUGGCACCUCACCCACAGAGCAGCGUCCGCCUCGUGCUAGGGGCGAGGGUGAGUCGGGGGCAGACCGAGGCUCCCCGGAGCCCAGCCUCCCCGCUGCAAAGUGCCCGCGUGUCGCUCAGGAGAGUGGAGCCAAUGCGAGCUUUGGAGGAGGUCUGCUCCGCGCCCCGCACAGAUUGGUGCUGAUGGUGCUUACCAGUUGUGUGUCUGUGCAAGAAAAAACCCGAGACGCUGCUUGCCUGCUCCCCCUCUCUCCUGCUCUCUCCCUCCCUUCGCAAACAUUGGAUUUAAACCUGCUCAGAAUUCAGUGCAGAGGAAGGCGGCAGCGGCAGCGGCAGCAGCCGGCCCAGCCGCGGGAACCCCGCAGCCUCAAGAUGCACCAGCCCGCCUGCUGGAUCGUCUUCUCCGUGACGACCGCCCUGCUCUUCAUCCCAGGCACUUUCCUUUAAUGAGCAGAGACGCUGCGCUGAGACACCCCUGAAAGGCCCAGAUGGAUCGAUGUGGUGGGACACAGGCCAUUGGUUGGAGCGGCUGCUCAC
ensembl:lincRNA